rnacentral:lncRNA from 1 species
UGUAUCCUCAAUAGCGAUAUUAUUCUAAAUAAAUCUCUCUUUAAUCCAUAGAGAUAUAUGCAGUAUCGUGUUUAGAAUAAUCAUCCAUCGUUUCAGACGGAUCAAUCAUCCAUCGCUCCGGCUAGAUGAUAUCCGUCUUUUCAACCUCAUGUAUCAUCCAUCGCUUUGGCUGGAUGAUACACGUUGCUCAGACCUAGCUUACGACCCGCGAGUCUAAGCGAUGGUUACAAAAUCCA